rnacentral:rRNA from 1 species
UGGGGAAUCUUCCGCAAUGGACGAAAGUCUGACGGAGCAACGCCGCGUGAGUGAAGAAGGCCUUCGGGUCGUAAAGCUCUGUUGUCAGGGAAGAAAGGUACUUUUGUGAAUAAUGGGAGUAAAUGACGGUACCUGACGAGGAAGCCACGACUAACUACGUGCCAGCAGCCGCGGUAAUACGGGGGGGGCAAGCGUUGUCCGGAAUCAUUGGGCGUAAAGAGUUCGUAGGUGGUAUGUUAAGUCUGGUGUUAAAGCCCGAAGCUCAACUUCGGUUCGGCACUGGAUACUGGCAAACUUGAAUGUGGUAGAGGUAAAGGGAAUUCCUGGUGUAGCGGUGAAAUGCGUAGAUAUCAGGAGGAACAUCGGUGGCGUAAGCGCUUUACUGGGCCAUAAUUGACACUGAGGAACGAAAGCCGGGGUAGCAAAUG